rnacentral:tmRNA from 1 species
GGGGGCGCAAUGGUUUCGACGGGGAUUGCGAACUUUAGUAAGCGGGUAGUGGCGCGGAUCCACUAUAAAAGACGCAAACUUAAAAUAAACGACAACAAUACAGUCGCUUUAGCAGCUUAAUGCUGCUCGUCUGACCGAGGAACACCGCGACCUCGGAUCGGGCGUCGAUCAGCGGUAAAGGUGAACAAAGGGAUGCUCCGACCUUUGUCAUCAAUCAGGAGCUGCUCUUAGCACAAUCCCGUUGUCGGGAGUGUGCAUAAGCUAAGAUUAAUACGACAACUACACCCGUAGAAAGCUUUGGCAAGUGGUUUUCGGACAGGAGUUCGAUUCUCCUCGCCUCCACCA